rnacentral:rRNA from 1 species
CCUACGGGAGGCAGCAGUGGGGAAUCUUGCGCAAUGGGCGAAAGCCUGACGCAGCCAUGCCGCGUGAAUGAUGAAGGUCUUAGGAUUGUAAAAUUCUUUCACCGGGGACGAUAUUGACGGUACCCGGAGAAGAAGCCCCGGCUAACUUCGUGCCAGCAGCCGCGGUCAUACGAAGGGGGCUAGCGUUGCCCGGAAUUACUGGGCGUAAAGGGCGCGUAGGCGGAAAUUUAAGUCAGGGGUGAAAUCCCAGGGCUUAACUCCGGAACUGCCUUUGAAACUGGGUAGCUUGAGUGUGAGAGAGGUAAGUGGAACUCCGAGUGUAGAGGUGAAAUUCGUAGAUAUUAGGAAGAACACCAGUGGCGAAGGCGACAUACUGGAUUGUUACUGACGCUGAGGCGCGAAAGCGUGGGGAGCAAACAGGAUUAGAUACCCUUGUAGUC